rnacentral:rRNA from 1 species
GAUCCUGGCUCAGGAUGAACGCUGGCGGCGUGCUUAACACAUGCAAGUCGAACGAAGCGCCUUGGACAGAUUCUUCGGAUGAAGUCUUUGGUGACUGAGUGGCGGACGGGUGAGUAACGCGUGGGUAACCUGCCUCAUACAGGGGGAUAACAGUUGGAAACGACUGCUAAUACCGCAUAAGCGCACAGGAUCGCAUGAUCCGGUGUGAAAAACUCCGGUGGUAUGAGAUGGACCCG